UGGCUCCAGAAAUCAAGGGUGGGUAAGACCUCGUAAGAACAGUUGAAGGCGACCCAUACUUGGUUUCAGGGGCUU
rfam:Alligator mississippiensis ScZkoYb_99, whole genome shotgun sequence.